UUUAUGGAGAGUUUGAUCCUGGCUCAGGAUGAACACUGGCGGCGUGCCUAAUACAUGCAAGUCGAGCGAACGGACGAGAAGCUUGCUUCUCUGAUGUUAGCGGCGGACGGGUGAGUAACACGUGGAUAACCUACCUAUAAGACUGGGAUAACUUCGGGAAACCGGAGCUAAUACCGGAUAAUAUUUUGAACCGCAUGGUUCAAAAGUGAAAGACGGUCUUGCUGUCACUUAUAGAUGGAUCCGCGCUGCAUUAGCUAGUUGGUAAGGUAACGGCUUACCAAGGCAACGAUGCAUAGCCGACCUGAGAGGGUGAUCGGCCACACUGGAACUGAGACACGGUCCAGACUCCUACGGGAGGCAGCAGUAGGGAAUCUUCCGCAAUGGGCGAAAGCCUGACGGAGCAACGCCGCGUGAGUGAUGAAGGUCUUCGGAUCGUAAAACUCUGUUAUUAGGGAAGAACAUAUGUGUAAGUAACUGUGCACAUCUUGACGGUACCUAAUCAGAAAGCCACGGCUAACUACGUGCCAGCAGCCGCGGUAAUACGUAGGUGGCAAGCGUUAUCCGGAAUUAUUGGGCGUAAAGCGCGCGUAGGCGGUUUUUUAAGUCUGAUGUGAAAGCCCACGGCUCAACCGUGGAGGGUCAUUGGAAACUGGAAAACUUGAGUGCAGAAGAGGAAAGUGGAAUUCCAUGUGUAGCGGUGAAAUGCGCAGAGAUAUGGAGGAACACCAGUGGCGAAGGCGACUUUCUGGUCUGUAACUGACGCUGAUGUGCGAAAGCGUGGGGAUCAAACAGGAUUAGAUACCCUGGUAGUCCACGCCGUAAACGAUGAGUGCUAAGUGUUAGGGGGUUUCCGCCCCUUAGUGCUGCAGCUAACGCAUUAAGCACUCCGCCUGGGGAGUACGACCGCAAGGUUGAAACUCAAAGGAAUUGACGGGGACCCGCACAAGCGGUGGAGCAUGUGGUUUAAUUCGAAGCAACGCGAAGAACCUUACCAAAUCUUGACAUCCUUUGACAACUCUAGAGAUAGAGCCUUCCCCUUCGGGGGACAAAGUGACAGGUGGUGCAUGGUUGUCGUCAGCUCGUGUCGUGAGAUGUUGGGUUAAGUCCCGCAACGAGCGCAACCCUUAAGCUUAGUUGCCAUCAUUAAGUUGGGCACUCUAAGUUGACUGCCGGUGACAAACCGGAGGAAGGUGGGGAUGACGUCAAAUCAUCAUGCCCCUUAUGAUUUGGGCUACACACGUGCUACAAUGGACAAUACAAAGGGCAGCGAAACCGCGAGGUCAAGCAAAUCCCAUAAAGUUGUUCUCAGUUCGGAUUGUAGUCUGCAACUCGACUACAUGAAGCUGGAAUCGCUAGUAAUCGUAGAUCAGCAUGCUACGGUGAAUACGUUCCCGGGUCUUGUACACACCGCCCGUCACACCACGAGAGUUUGUAACACCCGAAGCCGGUGGAGUAACCUUUUAGGAGCUAGCCGUCGAAGGUGGGACAAAUGAUUGGGGUGAAGUCGUAACAAGGUAGCCGUAUCGGAAGGUGCGGCUGGAUCACCUCCUUUCU
rnacentral:rRNA from 1 species